rnacentral:tRNA from 1 species
GUGGACGUGGCGGAACUGGCAGACGCUCAGGUCUCAGAAGCCUGUGGUUACCCGUGUGAGUUCAAAUCUCAUCGUCCGCACCA